AAAACAAUACUUUAAGCGAUUAUUUCUAUAGUGAUUUACUAGGGAAAUGCGUUUGUAAAGUGCUUGUAUUCGCUAUCCACGAGGAGGAGUGGGAGUGUUCUUUUUUUUUUAGCGUGAAUGGCACAGCGAGUGUUGUUUUUCACCAACUGCUCACUGUUAUUGAUGACCGCUCCAGUGUUCCUUAGACGGCUGGAGGAAGAGGACAUGUUCUGAGCGGA